UAGGGAAUCUUCGGCAAUGGGGGCAACCCUGACCGAGCAACGCCGCGUGAGUGAAGAAGGUUUUCGGAUCGUAAAGCUCUGUUGUAAGUCAAGAACGGGUGUGAGAGUGGAAAGUUCACACUGUGACGGUAGCUUACCAGAAAGGGACGGCUAACUACGUGCCAGCAGCCGCGGUAAUACGUAGGUCCCGAGCGUUGUCCGGAUUUAUUGGGCGUAAAGCGA
rnacentral:rRNA from 1 species